rnacentral:ribozyme from 1 species
UUUUUUUUUUUUUUUUUUUUUUUUUUUUUUUGUUUUCCAAC